UACGUAGGGGGCUAGCGUUACUCGGAUUUAUUGGGCGUAAAGCGAAUGUAGGCGGUUUCAUAAGUCAGAGGUGAAAUCCCUCAGCUUAACUGAGGAAUAGCCUUUGAUACUGCGGAACUUGAGGACAGGAGAGGAAAGUGGAAUUCCCGGUGUAGCGGUGGAAUGCGUAGAUAUCGGGAGGAACACCAGAGGCGAAGGCGGCUUUCUGGACUGAUCCUGACGCUGAGAUUCGAAAGCCAGGGGAGCAAACAGG
rnacentral:rRNA from 1 species